rnacentral:rRNA from 1 species
GUGGGGAAUUUUGGACAAUGGGCGCAAGCCUGAUCCAGCAAUGCCGCGUGCAGGAAGAAGGCCUUCGGGUUGUAAACUGCUUUUGUACGGAACGAAACGGUCCUGGUUAAUACCUGGGGCUAAUGACGGUACCGUAAGAAUAAGCACCGGCUAACUACGUGCCAGCAGCCGCGGUAAUACGUAGGGUGCGAGCGUUAAUCGGAAUUACUGGGCGUAAAGCGUGCGCAGGCGGUUUUGUAAGACAGGCGUGAAAGCCCCGGGCUCAACCUGGGAAUUGCGCUUGUGACUGCAAGGCUGGAGUGCGGCAGAGGGGGAUGGAAUUCCGCGUGUAGCAGUGAAAUGCGUAGAUAUGCGGAGGAACACCGAUGGCGAAGGCAAUCCCCUGGGCCUGCACUGACGCUCAUGCACGAAAGCGUGGGGAGCAAACAGGAUUAGAAACCCCAGUAGUCC